rnacentral:rRNA from 1 species
AACGAACGCAGGCGGCGCGUCUUAAGCAUGCAAGUCGAACGGUAAGGGAGAGCUUGCUCUCCCCUAGAGUGGCGGACUGGUGAGUAACGCGUGGGUGACCUGCCCUGAAGAUGGGGAUAGCUAGUAGAAAUAUUAGAUAAUACCGAAUGCGCUCAUUUACAUAAAGGUAAAUGAGGAAAGGAGCUACGGCUCCGCUUCAGGAUGGGCCCGCGUCCCAUUAGCUAGUUGGUGAGGUAAAGGCCCACCAAGGCAACGAUGGGUAUCCGGCCUGAGAGGGUGAACGGACACAUUGGGACUGAGAUACGGCCCAAACUCCUACGGGAGGCAGCAGCUAAGAAUCUUCCGCAAUGGACGAAAGUCUGACGGAGCGACGCCGUGUGAAUGAAGAAGGCCGAAAGGUUGUAAAAUUCUUUUGCAGAUGAAGAAUAAGAAGAAGAGGGAAUGCUUCUUUGAUGACGGUAGUCAUGCGAAUAAGCCCCGGCUAAUUACGUGCCAGCAGCCGCGGUAACACGUAAGGGGCGAGCGUUGUUCGGAAUUAUUGGGCGUAAAGGGUAUGUAGGCGGUUAGGUAAGCCUGGUGUGAAAUCUACGAGCUCAACUCGUAAACUGCAUUGGGUACUGCUUGACUUGAAUCACGGAGGGGAAACCGGAAUUCCAAGUGUAGGGGUGGAAUCUGUAGAUAUUUGGAAGAACACCGGUGGCGAAGGCGGGUUUCUGGCCGAUGAUUGACGCUGAUAUACGAAGGUGCGGGGAGCAAACAGG